UACGAAGGGGGCGAGCGUUGUUCGGAAUUACUGGGCGUAAAGGGCGCGCAGGCGGCCGUGGAAGUCAGAUGUGAAAGCCCCGGGCUCAACCUGGGAAUAGCAUUUGAUACUCCGGGGCUGGAGUGCGGGAGAGGAGAGUGGAAUUCCCAGUGUAGAGGUGAAAUUCGUAGAUAUUGGGAAGAACACCGGUGGCGAAGGCGGCUCUCUGGACCGUAACUGACGCUGAGGCGCGAAAGCGUGGGGAGCAAACAGG
rnacentral:rRNA from 1 species